UCCAUGGCCUGCGGAGAGGGGCCCACCCGGCUGCUGGGCGCCCCCACGCCGACCUCUGAAGCUCCUCAAGGAGUCAGUGGACAAAACGGCGCAUCACCCGCUGUCUGGAGACAUCCGCCCUCCAGGCAGGGCCCGGUGACCUGCUGAGAGCGCCAGCCUGAAACCACCCCAAACGGAUCUGUCAGGGAACAGGGCUCUUGGGGCCUCUGAGGGUGGGAAGCUGAAAGGAAUCUUCUCUUGAUGACCUCACAGAGUGGCACGUGGAACCCUGAUCGGGGAAUGAGGUCACAGAGGAUGGUUGGAGUCCGUAGGGGCUGGGGGCAGGCAGAAGUCAGGCCUGAUGGUCCGGUAAUGAGGGACAGGCCUAUGCGCCAGGUCCCAGUUUCAUUUAAACUUUGGAGACGAAGAGGAAGGAGUCAGGUGAAAAUACCGACCCACUGCUUUAGCCGUGGCCCCCGCUGUGCUGUCUGUCUGAGGGGAAGCGUGUGCCGGACCAUCUGACUGACACCAGCCAGGCUGUUACCUGUCUGCCUUUGCCUCCUUGGCCCCCUUCUCCGUCCGUGCUAUUCAUCGGAGACCUUCAGGUGUCUGUUGGUCUGUUUAUCUUUCAGGUUGCAGGUGUGUGAGGCCACAGAGUGUGGCAACUCCUCCCAAUGACAGUGAGGUCACUGAUCUGGCAGAGACAGGACAAGGCGAGGGAGGGAAAGAAGCGGACAGCCUAUAGACAGAUAGAAAUGGACCCAGAGGAGUCAAAGUGGUGAGGAAGGAAGAAAACACAAGUGUCUGAAGUUGGGGCCCUCCCACAUCACCCUCCACCCUUAGAAGAUCAAACCAGCCAAGGAACUACUAAAUCUUGAUUUUACUUUUUACUAUGUGGACACAGCCAUUGUUAAAUUCACUUUGAUUUUAUUUAACCUUCAGAUUGAUUGGAUGUAAAAUAAAUGUAAAUACAUUUUUUUUGUGUGCCAUGAAGAGUUUGCAUGCAGUGAACCCAUUCCAUACAAUUGUCUGACAGUAUACACUUUGAUCUACUAAGAUGGGUAGGCAUCAAUGUAGGCUGUUUGGUAGUUAUAUCCUUACCAGACCCUGAGAUGUGACCUUACUUAGAAACAAAACUGUUGCAGAUAUAAUGAAUUAAGAUGAGGUUAUACUGGAUUAGGGUGGAUCCUGAAUCCAAUAUGACUGGGAUCCUUACAAGAACAGAAGACACACACACAAGAUGGCCAAGUGGCGAUGGAGGCCGAGAUUGGGAUGAUGUACCUGUGAGCCAAGAAUGCCACGGACUGUGGGCAGCCACCAGAAGCCAGAAGGGAGAAAUGGAACAGAUUCUCCCUCAGAGAGUCCGGAAGAAACCAGCCCUGCCAACACCUUGAUUUUGGACUUCUAGGUACCAAAACCGGAAGAGAGUAAACUUCUGCUGUUAAAAGCUGCCCAGUUUGUGGUUGUUUGGUGCAGCAUCCCUAGGAAUCUAUACGGUGGUCUUGCAUGUCAAUAAAGGAGAGGAGCCUAAGAAA